GUAGGCAACAAAUUUCUUCAUUCAUUCAUUCUCAAACAGUCACUACUACUUUAUCCGAUCAACCAAAAAGCUUCAAAUUCCGGCACAAAAAAGCCCUAAAAUCUUUCCAACUUUUCUCAACGAAACCAUGAAAGUAUCACUAAAACUCGAAGAUCAACAACAACAAGAUCAAAACCAAACCCCAAUUCUCUUCAAAGCCAAAAUCCCCAUCACCGUCUUCGGCCUCCCUUUCCUCUCCGCCGUCUCCGCCACCCACAACCACCCCUCCGCCGCCGCAUCCGACAAACUCUCCCUCUCCCUCCGCACCCACUUCCCCUCCGGCCCCUCUCUCAAACUCUCCUACAACACCCCCACCACCACCACCACCGCCACCACCACCGCCGCCGUAGCACCCCUCACUCUCACUCUCAAGUCCGGCGUCAGUCUUUCCGGCUCCCCCAACAAUUCCCCUCUCAUAAUUUCUGCUAAUUUCAACUUUUCCCCUCAAAACCCUAACCCUAACCCUAAUUUUACAAUCAAAUUCACACCCAAAUUGGGAUCAUUCUCUGUUCGUAAAUCGAUACACUCUUCUGUAUCUAACUCUAGUAAGAAUCUUAAUGGUUGGGGUAGUGAUGGUGGUGAGAAUUCGUUUGCAUUUGUGCCGUUGGAUCGACCGAUUAAUUGGAAAGAAUUGAGUGUUGAAUCGGUCGAAAAAGGUUCGAUCUUGAAAGGGAUUAUGGUGGCGGCAGAUACCGAAUUGCCGGUUAUGAACCGGGUCAAGGUGAAUUUACGGUGGGGCGUGGGCGUUUCAUCGGUUUCGUCGGGUUUCGAUAAGCCAAUGCCGUAUUUGAGAGUGAAUAAGAUUAAGGUUGAGAGGAUUGAUGAUGUGGUUGAGGAGAAAGUUGAGAAAAAACAGGGGAUGGAUGGCGAGUUUGAGAUGUUGAAGGGGAUGUAUAGUUGGAUGAGUAGGGAAUUGAGUGAUCUGCAGACGGAAAACAGAGAGAUGAGACGCGCGUUGGAGGAUGUUAAGUCGGGGCAGCCGUUAAGGCAACAUAACACGUACAAUGGCGGCGGUGGGAAGAGGGCUGUGACACCGACGGUUGAAGUUUCGGACGGGUUUGAGCAGUGGAAGAUGAAGAAGAAUGGUGGUGGCAUUGAGGCGAAUACGCAAAGGGAAACGAAGAAGAACGGUGGCUCGGUUGAUGUGGAGAGUGAAUUGCAGAGAGCAAUUAUGGCUGCAUCUUCAUAAUGAGAUAUGUGAAAAGCAGAAGCGACAAACAGUUACGAGAUCCUGAUGAGGCGGAUGAAACCGAGGAUUGCAAGCCCAUAAAUGGGAACGACGACGGGCCUAUAGUUCCUUGUGGAUUGGUCGCCUGGAGUUUGUUCAACGAUACAUACAAAUUCUUCAAAGGAAACAAAGCUAUAGAUAUCGAUAAGAAAGAUAUCGCGUGGGAAAGCGAUAAGAAGUAUAAAUUCGGGUCAAACGUGUACCCGAAAAACUUUCAAAAGUGGGAGUUGAUAGGGGGUGGUGCACUAGACGAAUCAAAACCGUUGAGCGAGCAAGAGGAUCUUAUCGUGUGGAUGAAAACUGCGGCAUUGCCUACAUUCAGGAAGCUUUACGGAAAGAUAAACACGGAUUUGGAAGCAAAUGAGACGAUCACGGUGGUGAUACAGAACAACUACAAUACAUACGUAUUCGGGGGAGAAAAGAAGGUUGCUCUUUCGACAGCGAAUUGGAUUGGUGGGAAAAACGAUUUCUUUGGAAUAUCGUUUCUUACUAUAGGUGGUGUCUGUUUUUUCGUGGCGAUUAAUUUUAUACUUCUUUAUGUUUUAAAACCGAGGCCUCUCGGAGAUCCAUCGUACUUGUCAUGGAAUAGAAAUCAAGGCGCCCAAUAAAACGUCGACGUUAGUUUUAGUGUUUUCGAUACCAUGUUAUACACAUGGUUCUUGUGUUGACUGAACUCUUGAUCUAAAAUAGUGAAUUUAUUUCUUU